rnacentral:rRNA from 1 species
GACGAACGCUGGCGGCGUGCUUAACACAUGCAAGUCGAACGGAAAGGCCCCUUUGGGGGUACUCGAGUGGAGAACGGGUGCGUAACACGUGAGUAACCUGCCCUCGACUUCGGGAUAACUUCAGGAAACUGGGGCUAAUACCGGAUAGGAAUCCUUGCUGCAUGGUGGGGGUUGGAAAGCUUCUGCGGUUUUGGAUGGACUCGCGGCUUAUCAGCUUGUUGGUGGGGUAGUGGCUUACCAAGGCUUUGACGGGUAGCAGGCCUGAGAGGGCGACCGGCCACAUUGGGGCUGAGGUACGGCCCAGAGGCCUACGGGGGGCAGCAGGGGGGAACAUUGAGCAAUGGGCGGAAGCCGGAUGCAGCAACGCCGCGUGCGGGAUGACGGACUUCGGGUUGUAAUCCGCUUUCAGCAGGGGCGAAGCUUGUGGUGACGGUACCUGCAGAAGAAGCACCGGCUAACUACGUG